GGCAACCCUGACGGAGCAACGCCGCGUGUGGGAGGACGGCCUUCGGGUUGUAAACCACUUUUCUCAGGGAAGAAGAACUGACGGUACCUGAGGAAUAAGCCUCGGCUAACUCCGUGCCAGCAGCCGCGGUAAUACGGAGGAGGCAAGCGUUAUCCGGAAUUAUUGGGCGUAAAGCGUUCGUAGGCGGCUGUUCAAGUCUGCUGUCAAAGACCGAGGCUCAACCUCGGGUCGGCAGUGGAAACUGGAUAGCUAGAGGUCGGUAGGGGCAAAGGGAAUUCCCAGUGUAGCGGUGAAAUGCGUAGAUAUUGGGAAGAACACCGGUGGCGAAAGCGCUUUGCUGGACCGAACCUGACGCUGAGGGACGAAAGCUAGGGGAGCG
rnacentral:rRNA from 1 species